UAGGGAAUAUUGGGCAAUGGAGGCAACUCUGACCCAGCCAUGCCGCGUGCAGGAAGACGGUUCUCAGAAUUGUAAACUGCUUUUGAAUGGGAAGAACAUUGGGCUUGCGAGCUUACUUGACGGUACCAUUAGAAUAAGCACCGGCUAACUCCGUGCCAGCAGCCGCGGUAAUACGGAGGGUGCAAGCGUUAUCCGGAUUUAUUGGGUUUAAAGGGUGCGUAGGCGGCCUAAUAAGUCGGUGGUUAAAGGUAGUCGCUUAACGAUUUACAUGCCAUCGAAACUAUUAGGCUUGAGUAAUUUGGAGGUAGCUAGAAUUCCCUGUGUAGCGGUGAAAUGCAUAGAUACGGGGAGGAAUACCGAUUGCGAAGGCAUGUUACUACGAAUUAACUGACGCUGAGGCACGAAAGCGUGGGGAUCAAACA
rnacentral:rRNA from 1 species